rnacentral:rRNA from 1 species
AACGAACGCUGGCGGCAGGCUUAACACAUGCAAGUCGAGCGGACCCUUCGGGGUCAGCGGCGGACGGGUGAGUAACGCGUGGGAACGUGCCCCUUUCUUCGGAAUAGCCUCGGGAAACUGGGAGUAAUGCCGAAUACGCCUCGCAAGAGGGAAAGAUUUAUCGGAGAGGGAUCGGCCCGCGUUGGAUUAGGUAGUUGGUGGGGUAAUGGCCUACCAAGCCGACGAUCCAUAGCUGGUUUGAGAGGAUGAUCAGCCACACUGGGACUGAGACACGGCCCAGACUCCUACGGGAGGCAGCAGUGGGGAAUCUUGGACAAUGGGGGCAACCCUGAUCCAGCCAUGCCGCGUGAUCGAUGAAGGCCUUAGGGUUGUAAAGAUCUUUCAGCGGGGAAGAUAAUGACGGUACCCGCAGAAGAAGCCCCGGCUAACUCCGUGCCAGCCGCCGCAGUAAAAC